CUCUGCAAACGCUUUACUGGUGCAAAGCUAAGAACCGAUUUUCACAGGAUUACAAUCUGAUCUUCUCCAGAGUGUCAACGUUAUUGCAUCAUUAUUUAGAAUUAAAGGAAUGAUUCAAGUAUUAACUUCUUGAGAGCUCUUGAAAUCAUAAUGCAGGAAAGUAAAAUGUUUUACAUUUGUUUUACUUGUAGACUUCCUCAGACUCUUUCCUGAGGUAUUGAGAACAAAGCACCGGUAGAAACCAUCUCCAAAUAUAUUUUUAUGGCGCCGGGUCAGAAAUUAACGAGGACCUUAAGGGUCCAGUAAAAUUCAAAAAAGAUGCCCAUCAUAUAAAUGAUAGCAUGGUCUGGUGACGCCACAUUUUGCCUGUGGUUAGAAUAACAAAGGUCAAAAGAUGCCUUAGGAAUUCAAAUCCAGUGACAAAAAGAUUAUAUUCAAAUCCAGUGCCACAGACAUACAGGACAUUUGGAAUUUCUGACAGGUCAGCGUGCAUGCUGCCUAUGGGGGGAGCCAGCAGCCAUCCGUUCAUCCAGACAUUGCCUGUGUGUGUUUGUGUGCAUGUGUGCGUGUGUGUGUGUGUGUGUGUGUGUGUGUGUGUGUGUGUGUGUGUGUGUGUGUGUGUGUGUGUGUGUGUGUAUGUGUGUGUGUGUGUGUGUGUGUGUGUGUGUGUGUGUGUGUGUGUGUGUGUGUGCGUGUGUGUGUGUGUGUGUGUGUGUGUGUGUGUGUGUGUGUGUGAGAGUUUAAUGUAGGUGCUGAUGGGCACUGAGGUUGGUGAGGAGGAUGGUAAACCUGCCAUGCGGUGCUGGUCUCUUCCCAUAGCUCCGGGUCAUACUUAAAUGGUAAUACUGUUUGCUGUGUAAUCGUUUUGCUUUAAAAUUAUGCAUUUAUCGGUUUUGUUUGGGAUUCUGAGUGGGCCGUCUCAUUCCAUAUUGAGUACACACCACUUCUAUGCUCUGGGAGGAAUUUCUAGUGAGGUUUGACCUGUGUCUCUAUUUUGGAUCUCAACCCAACACACUUGUGAUUGGCACUUGAUAUGUUCAGCUUUCCAUAGGUGAUAGAUAUGCUGCAGGAGUGGAUGGUUGUAUAAGAAAAGUAACAAAAUUAAAUUGAUUCUACUGUCCAAAAUGUUGCAUAGUUAUACAUUACUUAUAACAGACAUAUAUUCAUAUCCUUACUAUGUGGAUUUAAAUCAACACAGAUGCACACAUUGUGUACGCAAUCGAUCAUUUAUACUUUACAUUCAGAUUUUAAUGACUUAAUGGAUUGUUUCAGUGCAUUAUUUUAAGCAGAAAUCAGCGAUCUAUAUUCCCACAUAGUUAACAGCUGUACAAAAGACAUGCCAAGAAACUGCUGGGUGGCACUUUCGAAACUCCCAGGAGGAGAAUUUUCUCCAUCUAUUUUUUUUAAGCACGGAAAACAUUUACAGAGGUGUUAAGUCAAGCAUGGUUGGAAGGGGAUUGCCAAUUACCUUAAAGACAAGAGCAGGACAAGAAGCGGACACGGGCAGACCUGUGGGCAGAUAAUGGGCUAUUUAUGUCCUUUAUUUAAUACUGUUGACUUUAUUGUCUCCUAAAAAAAAGUAAAAUUUAGCUUGGAACGUAUUCUUUAUAUUCUUCUUCUGGUUUCAUAGGUGAAGAGAAUCUCGUCAGCUCAUACCGCUCUUCUUCCCCUUUGUGAAAAAUCUUAAGUUAAUGGGAAUGUAAGAAGUCUCUCAGCCCAAGCUCUUACAGUAGCCACUUAAAACCCUUCUAACGGCUCUGGAACGUUCUCUCAUUAGAGCUGUCAAGAGAGCACUAUGCACACUGUAUAUCCUCAACGCACUAGGGUGAAAUCUUUCUUCUCUGAGCACCUGUUUCUGCAUCCUCAGCAUAAUGUGGCAUUAGACACGGCUGCCUGGUGGCACGUCACCACCUGUGUGUCCCGCUACAUCAUAUUCACGACACACACACACACACACACACACAAACACACCUACACCCACACACACACACACACCUACGCCCAAACACACACACUCACACCCACACACACACCAGCUGUAUGUCUGUGUUUUGCAAGUUUAUUUUCUCCUGCAUAAAUAUAGCACAUCCCUACCUGGCGUCAAGUACCAGCUGUUGGAUAUAUGGAGGCCAUGAUGUGAGCUGAUGGUCUGCCGAGGCAUGUGCAAGUUAAUGGUGCAGGCUCAUCCAAUUAUAUCGACACUGAUGUAUUGUAUUGAAGCUAUUGAAUUGAUAUUCAUUUCAUAUCCAAGGCAAAAAAGUGCCUCUCUCAGUCUGCAGUGAUUUGAUUUUCCAAGGUUGAAUGACUUUGAUUGUUUGCUUCCCAUAACAGUCUGUAAUGAGCUUCAAAUCUAUGACCGUCAGUUACAGUCUUACAGACCAUCAAUAGUUACCACCCUACACCUAAUUAGAUUGGAUAUAUUUUCCAAGAAUGCUUACUGAUAGAUUUAAUGGAAUCUGGUUGCCAGGGGACUAUUGUUGCGUGCUUAAGUUGACGACAAUCUUGGUGUUAGGAUUCUCCUCACGGUGAGAUGCUGUCAAGGCCUGUACACAGCCCUUUGUUCACAGACAGUUGUUGAACAUAUUGACCAGAACAUCUUGACAUUGCUUGUCUUUCAGAGAAAUAAAACAAGGCUUCAUUCA
ensembl:lncRNA